AUGAAGUCUCUACAAUUUACUCUGUAUUCUGUACAACCUGUGGCUUCAGUUAUAAGCACAAGUCAACAACGUAUGGAGUGGACACACCGAUCAUCUGGCGAUCAAACCAAUAAAGAAUUAAUAGUCACACCCGUGGCUCGCGAUGCACCGAUCAAUGGCACACGAUGGUCUCGAAGCAGUCAAUCCCGUCGAACUCUGGCGCGAACCGCAGCCGCGGCGGCGAGGGCGACUGUGAUUUCCUCUUGCCCGGCUGAUGCUCUGUUUCCCCCUGCAGACCGCCCUGUUUUCUCUGUUGCCCAGCUCCAGCCUGGUCGUCCUUCUGCAGCUUCCUCCCCCGCCAGGAGAGCCGAGCCCAGGUGCUGCCGGCUCCGGCGCCGGGGGUGA
rnacentral:rRNA from 1 species